UCGUUUUGAUAUUAGGUUUGUGCUUGCUUUCAUCUCCGCCAUUCGAGAUAGAGAACCAAUCGAGUUCUGAGAUCGCUGUUUCAUCUUCUUCCUUAUAAUCCGAAAGCUACCAGUUACUUUUCAUCUUCUUAAAGUCCUUAUUAAAUCCUUCACCCACCCACGAUCUACCUUGAAUGCGAGCUUCCCCCAUGAAAGGCUGUGGAACUGUGACUAUAAAAAGAAUGGUCAAGGACGUACAGUAGCGUGUUCCAUCCACGAGAGGCUGAAAUAUGGAGUCAUUCAUUAUACAACUUCAAAGUCUCUUGCAUCACAGCUUCCUCUCUCGGUGUUCAUCAACAGAUGAUAGCCGGUAAUGGGCAGUUUCCAGGACCUCUGUUUAAUGCUACGACCAUCUACAAUGUUGUUGUUAGAGUCUAAAUUGGAUGAGCCUCUUCUUUUAACUUGGCAUGGGCCACCUGGCAUCCAAAUGCGGCGUAACUUGUGGCAAGACGGUCUUCAGGUGGAAGAUCAAAUUGGAAGCUUCUUCUACUCUCCCUGACUCAACUUUCAGAGAGCAUAUGGUAAUUUUGUUCAUGUUGUGAUUAAUAACCGGAAAAUUAAUCUUAUCCUUUUCGCAUGGCCUGACGGCGAAAUGGUACACUCAUGACCAUAAAGAGAAUACUUGACUAUGAGAAAGAACUUGGGAUGCCGGAUGGAGUCUCAUCAUUGGGAAGGGCCCUUACAAGUACAACAGUAUUGUACCUGUUGGAAUUGAUCACUUAUCCGUUCAUGCUGAACUAGGUGCUAAGAGUUUUUCUAUCCCUUUGUCUCAUGAGAUGGAUGACUCUUCUAAUGUGACUUUCCCUUUGUGGGGAAACCCUUUAAAGCUUGAAGCUCACGUUGUUUACUUUCUCUACAAUUCUAGAUUUUAGUACAACUUUAUUGUAACAAUAAUUUUGUUUCAACUAGAUUCAUAUAAAAUAUUUUUCUGUUAAUUUUUCAUU